AACAUUCAGGGUCCCCACUUAAACUCUCCAAAUCCAGGAGAAACCAUGCUGCAGUUUGCCAUGCCAUCCGUUAAACUCUGUGUACUGUGAGCCACCAUCACGUACGAGAAGAGCACCAGGCACAAGACCAAGAGUAUAUAACAUCCAAGAGAGUAAGCUGAGAGUAUAAAGCAGAAUGGAACCAAUUCAUCCACUGCAGUUGACGGUACACUAGGACUGAAUUUGGCCUAAUGCAUUUAAUCACGUUCACCAUGUGCCUGUGAUACAACUUUUAAAUAUUUUAUAUGAUUUGGAUCUUGUGUGAUUUCUUUUAAACUUGUAGAUUUAGAGAUGCCUGGAAUGCUGUGGCAGAUAAAUCAGUAGCAGGGGCUCUAAGUGAUUUGGAGGAUUCCUGGAAGAGGUGAAAACCUAAGUCACAGUGUUCAAAGCUGACCCAGCACUGACUGAAAACUUGGUACCUUCUGACAGCUAGUCAGUAAGGCUUAUGCGCAGGGAAGGGAAUGGGGGAUGCUUGCUGUAACUUUAGUGUGAAUAAAGGACUUCAGUCUCCUGAUCUGACAUCUCUUGGGAACACUCAAAUUGAUAAAGAUGAAAUUAAGUA